rnacentral:rRNA from 1 species
AACGAACGCUGGCGGCAUGCCUAACACAUGCAAGUCGAACGAGACCUUCGGGUCUAGUGGCGCACGGGUGCGUAACGCGUGGGAACCUACCCUUAGGUUCGGAAUAACUCCCCGAAAGGGGUGCUAAUACCGGAUAAUGUCUUCGGACCAAAGAUUUAUCGCCUUUGGAUGGGCCCGCGUGGGAUUAGCUAGAUGGUAGGGUAAAAGCCUACCAAGGCGACGAUCCAUAGCUGGUCUGAGAGGAUGACCAGCCACACUGGGACUGAGACACGGCCCAGACUCGUACGGGAAGCAGCAGUGGGGAAUGUUGGACACUGGGCGCAAGCCUGAUCCAGCCAUGCCGCGUGAGUGAUGAAGGCCUUAGGGUUGUAAAGCUCUUUUACACGAGAUGAUAAUGACGGUACCGGGAGAAUAAGCUCCGGCUAACUACGUG